rnacentral:rRNA from 1 species
GAUGAACGCUGGCGGCGUGCCUAAUACAUGCAAGUCGAGCGAACGGACGAGAAGAUUGCUUCUCUGCUGUUAGCGGCGGACGGGUGAGUAACACGUGGAUAACCUACCUAUAAGACUGGGAUAACUUCGGGAAACCGGAGCUAAUAACGGAUAAUAUUUUGAACCGCAUGGUUCAAAAGUGAAAGACGGUCUUGCUGUCACUUAUAGAUGGAUCCGCGCUGCAUUAGCUAGUUGGUAAGGUAACGGCUUACCAAGGCAACGAUGCAUAGCCGACCUGAGAGGGUGAUCGGCCACACUGGAACUGAGACACGGUCCGGACUCCUACGGGAGGAAGCAGUAGGGAAUCUGCCGCAAUGGGCGAAAGCCUGACGGAGCAACGCCGCGUGAGUGAUGAAGGCCUUCGGAUCGUAAAACUCUGUUAUGAGGGAAGAACAUAUGUGUAAGUAACUGUGCACAUCUUGACGGUACCUAAGCAGAAAGCCACGGCUAACUACGU